CCUACGGGUGGCAGCAGUGGGGAAUAUUGCACAAUGGGGGAAACCCUGAUGCAGCGACGCCGCGUGAGUGAAGAAGUAUUUCGGUAUGUAAAGCUCUAUCAGCAGGGAAGAUAAUGACGGUACCUGUCUAAGAAGCCCCGGCUAACUACGUGCCCGCAGCGGCGGUAAUACGUAGGGGGCAAGCGUUAUCCGGAUUUACUGGGUGUAAAGGGUGCGUAGACGGGAGGACAAGUCAGAUGUGAAAGCCCGGGGCUCAACCCCGGAACUGCAUUUGAAACUGUGCAUCUGGAGUGCAGGAGAGGUAAGCGGAAUUCCUAGUGUAGCGGUGAAAUGCGUAGAUAUAAGGAAGAACACCAGUGGCGAAGGCGGCUUACUGGACUGUAACUGACGCUGAGGCACGAAAGCGUGGGGAGCAAACAGGAUUAGAUACCCCAGUAGUC
rnacentral:rRNA from 1 species